GAUGGGAGCUUGCUCCCUGAGAUUAGCGGCGGACGGGUGAGUAACACGUGGGCAACCUGCCUAUAAGACUGGGAUAACUUCGGGAAACCGGAGCUAAUACCGGAUACGUUCUUUUCUCGCAUGAGAGAAGAUGGAAAGACGGUUUACGCUGUCACUUAUAGAUGGGCCCGCGGCGCAUUAGCUAGUUGGUGAGGUAAUGGCUCACCAAGGCGACGAUGCGUAGCCGACCUGAGAGGGUGAUCGGCCACACUGGGACUGAGACACGGCCCAGACUCCUACGGGAGGCAGCAGUAGGGAAUCUUCCGCAAUGGACGAAAGUCUGACGGAGCAACGCCGCGUGAACGAAGAAGGCCUUCGGGUCGUAAAGUUCUGUUGUUAGGGAAGAACAAGUACCAGAGUAACUGCUGGUACCUUGACGGUACCUAACCAGAAAGCCACGGCUAACUACGUGCCAGCAGCCGCGGUAAUACGUAGGUGGCAAGCGUUGUCCGGAAUUAUUGGGCGUAAAG
rnacentral:rRNA from 1 species